rnacentral:rRNA from 1 species
UUAGAGUUUGAUUCUGGCUCAGGAUGAACGCUAGCGGCAGGCUUAACACAUGCAAGUCGAGGGGCAGCGAGAUCAGUGCUUGCACUGAUUGUCGGCGACCGGCGCACGGGUGCGUAACGCGUAUGCAACCUACCCAUUACAGGGGGAUAACACUGAGAAAUCGGUACUAAUACCCCAUAACAUCCAGGGAGGCAUCUUCUUGGGUUGAAAACUCCGGUGGUAAUGGAUGGGCAUGCGUUGUAUUAGUUAGUUGGUGGGGUAACGGCUCACCAAGACAACGAUACAUAGGGGGACUGAGAGGUUAACCCCCCACAUUGGUACUGAGACACGGACCAAACUCCUACGGGAGGCAGCAGUGAGGAAUAUUGGUCAAUGGACGCAAGUCUGAACCAGCCAUGCCGCGUGCAGGAAGACGGCUCUAUGAGUUGUAAACUGCUUUUGUACGAGGGUAAACGCAGAUACGCGUAUCUGUCUGAAAGUAUCGUACGAAUAAGGAUCGGCUAACUCCGUGCCAGCAGCCGCGGUAAUACGGAGGAUUCAAGCGUUAUCCGGAUUUAUUGGGUUUAAAGGGUGCGUAGGCGGUCGGAUAAGUUAGAGGUGAAAUCCCGGGGCUCAACUUCGGAAUUGCCUCUGAUACUGUUCGGCUAGAGAGUAGUUGCGGUAGGCGGAAUGUAUGGUGUAGCGGUGAAAUGCUUAGAGAUCAUGCAGAACACCGAUUGCGAAGGCAGCUUACCAAGCUACUUCUGACGUUGAGGCACGAAAGCGUGGGGAGCAAACAGGAUUAGAUACCCUGGUAGUCCACGCAGUAAACGAUGAUAACUCGUUGUCGGCGAUACAGUGUCGGUGACUAAGCGAAAGCGAUAAGUUAUCCACCUGGGGAGUACGUUCGCAAGAAUGAAACUCAAAGGAAUUGACGGGGGCCCGCACAAGCGGAGGAACAUGUGGUUUAAUUCGAUGAUACGCGAGGAACCUUACCCGGGCUUGAAAGUUAGUGACGGAUCUUGAAAGAGGUCUUCCCUUCGGGGCACGAAACUAGGUGCUGCAUGGUUGUCGUCAGCUCGUGCCGUGAGGUGUCGGGUUAAGUCCCAUAACGAGCGCAACCCCUACCGUUAGUUGCCAGCAGGUCAAGCUGGGCACUCUGACGGGACUGCCGGUGUAAGCCGAGAGGAAGGUGGGGAUGACGUCAAAUCAGCACGGCCCUUACGUCCGGGGCUACACACGUGUUACAAUGGCAGGUACAGAGGGCAGCUACCCAGCGAUGGGAUGCGAAUCUCGAAAGCCUGUCUCAGUUAGGAUUGGAGGCUGAAACCCGCCUCCAUGAAGUUGGAUUCGCUAGUAAUCGCGCAUCAGCCAUGGCGCGGUGAAAAGGUUCCUCGGGCCUUGUACUCACCGCCCGUCA